GCCCGCCUAGCUCAAUCGGAUAGAGCGUCAGACUCUUACGAGGACUUGCGGGUCAGUAAUCUGAAGGCUGCGAGUUCGACCCUCGCGGUGGGCU